UACGGGGGGGGGCAAGCGUUGUUCGGAAUUACUGGGCGUAAAGGGCUCGUAGGCGGCCAACUAAGUCAGACGUGAAAUCCCUCGGCUUAACCGGGGAACUGCGUCUGAUACUGGAUGGCUUGAGUUUGGGAGAGGGAUGCGGAAUUCCAGGUGUAGCGGUGAAAUGCGUAGAUAUCUGGAGGAACACCGGUGGCGAAAGCGGCAUCCUGGACCAACACUGACGCUGAGUGAGCGAAAGCCAGGGGAGCAAACGGG
rnacentral:rRNA from 1 species